rnacentral:rRNA from 1 species
GACGAACGCUGGCGGCGUGCUUAACACAUGCAAGUCGAACGGGCCUGUCUUCUUUUUUGGGGGUGGGUUGAGUGGCGAACGGGUGAGUAUCACGUGAGUAACCUGCCCUUCGGUCCUGGAUAACCGCUUGAAAGGGCGGCUAAUACGGGGUGGUCCGGUUGGUCCGCAUGGGCUGGUCGGGAUAGAUUCACUGUUUUUGGUGUUUCGGCGGGGGAUGGGCUCGCGGCCUAUCAGCUUGUUGGUGGGGGGAUGGCCUACCAAGGCGGUGACGGGUAGCCGGGCGGGGGGGGUGGGCGGCCGCACUGGGACGGGGGUACGGCCCAGAGUGCUGCGGGGGGCAGCGGUGGGGGGUAUUGCACAGUGGGCGGAAGCCUGAUGCAGCGACGUCGCGUGAGGGAUGGAGGCCUUCGGGUUGUGAACCUCUGUUUCCGGUGGUGAAGGCCCUGUCCGUGUGGUGGGGUUGACGGUAGCCGGGGAUGAAGCGCCGGCUAACUACGUG